rnacentral:misc_RNA from 1 species
AACGCACCUUGCGCCCCAUGGUAUUCCGUGGGGCACGCCUGUUUGAGUGUCACGUUAAUCCUCAUUACAAAAUGUGUAACAACGUUUUGUAAUGGAUUUGGAUGUUGCCGUCGUUGGCUCAUCUCGAAAUGACAUUAGCUGUCUAAGGACUUGAGCUAUUGGUGUAAUACUUAUGUUGCGCCGCUUUGUUCAUGGUCUGGUGGUGGCUCAUAAAGUGUCCGCAAGGACAAUACUUUUAAGACUUUGGCCUCAAAUCAGGUGGGACUACCCGCUGAACUUAA